rnacentral:rRNA from 1 species
UGGGGAAUAUUGGACAAUGGGCGCAAGCCUGAUCCAGCCAUGCCGCGUGAGUGAUGAAGGCCUUAGGGUUGUAAAGCUCUUUCAGUAGGGAAGAUAAUGACGGUACCUACAGAAGAAGCCCCGGCUAACUUCGUGCCAGCAGCCGCGGUAAUACGAAGGGGGCUAGCGUUGCUCGGAAUUACUGGGCGUAAAGCGCACGUAGGCGGCUCUUUAAGUCGGGGGUGAAAUCCUGGAGCUCAACUCCAGAACUGCCUUCGAUACUGGAGAGCUCGAGUCCGGGAGAGGUGAGUGGAACUGCGAGUGUAGAGGUGAAAUUCGUAGAUAUUCGCAAGAACACCAGUGGCGAAGGCGGCUCACUGGCCCGGUACUGACGCUGAGGUGCGAAAGCGUGGGGAGCAAAC